CUCACGCUCGUGCUCGCGCUCGCGCUCUCCUCAGGCUUUGUCUGGCGGCUCCCGCCCGCUCUGUCUGCACCACCACAGGGCGUCCUGGUCCCCAGCCCUGGGCGCGCAGGAGGACGUCGCGGCGCGACGGGACCGGGGGUGGAGAUAUUUAUGAUAUACUGAAACAGCUGAAGAAGUAUUCAGUUCAAAGUUCAGAGGGAAGAAACAGAGAAACAGGAGACAAGAGAGGCCUCUCCAAAGAAAGAAACACUGCAGGCCAACCGGGAUGAUGCUGGUAGCCGAGAAGCACACCCAAGCCCCUAUUAUAAGCUGGAUCCAGGAGACUUUUUAUGUAUCCCGUAAUGAUAUUCCAAGGUAUGUGUUUUGACUUGUUGGUGGAUUCAAAUAUAUGUAAUGAGUCCCAGAAAAA
rnacentral:lncRNA from 1 species